AUGCCUUUAAUUCUAAUAAUCAUCUAUAAAUUGCCUUUUUGACGUUCUCUUUCGUACUUAUUAUUUUCGAAAAGGCGUAAAAUAUGUGUAAUGCAACAUAUAAUAUAAUGAAGCGUAAAAUACGUAUAAUUUAUUCGUUAUAACUUUUCGAGAAAUCUUUUUCUUCGAAGGACAAUUAUUACGAUUGUAUUAUGCAAGUUAUCGAUUGUCGUAUUCUUUUCUACGUUUUCCUCAAUACGUUGUUAAGGAAGUUUACAAAUUUGCCGCGAAAGAAUAUUCUCUACAAAUCGCAUGCGUUCAUAUUCUGGUACCAUUAAUUGUAACAUACAGGUAAUAUUCAUACACAAGAUUGUUUAUCACUUUUCGCUCAAAGCAAGUCAAAGUGUGACUUCAGCGACGGGAAUGGACAAAAUAUGAACUACACGCAAGCGAGGAACGCUAUUCCCAUCAUGCGUUUAUCGUAUCGAUGUAUAAGCUUGUGUUGGUAUAUUCCUCUCACGUGUAUGACAAUCGGUUUCGUGUAGGUUAAAGUAAAGUGUUAGUAGGCUCUGACUUACACUUUUUAGUCUCUCAUAUGUAUAUCUUUUUUUGAUAGUGUAUCCGUUUUGCAGUGAUCUGUGCUAGAUACGACGUCGGUAUGCAUUUGUUUUAUGACAAAUGUAUAAAGGAUAAAUAUAUUAUAAAUAUAUAAUUGACACAUAUAAUAAUAAGCGUAUAAAUUUGCGACAAAAAAGAAGAUUUUGUCGAAUAUUUUGUCCAAAAUAAUUAAUGAAUACUUACACAUAACAUAUUAUAUAUAUAUAUAUAUAUAUAUAUAUAUAUAUAUAUGUAUAUACUUGUAUUCUUACUAUAUUAUCAUAUUAUUUAUUAUUAUAAUAGUAAUAAUAUUAAUAAUAAUAAUAAUAUAAAAUGGAUUACUCUUACAAAGGAAAUUAUUAAAAAAUAGCACUGGAAAACCCUCCUAUUAUUUUGACUUUUGUGUAUUAAUAGUAUAAAAUAUAUAGUAUAUAAUACAUAAUUCAUUAAUUAUUAUUUUUGAAAAAAUAAUCGACAAGUGUAUAUGCUUUACAUGCAUUUAUCGUCAAACUAAAUUGUACCGCUGCUGUGUCCUAUCCAACACAGAUCACUGCGAAAUUCAUGUCAAUCAGCAGUAAAGGAAAUAAAUAGAGAUUGAAUUGUAAUACCUUACUGAACUGUUAAAUAAGAAAAAAAAAAUGAAUAAAUUAGUUGAUUAUUUUCGUUUACAUCAAUAAAAUAAAAAAAAAAAAAUAACACCGAAAUCACUUAGCCUCGAGAAACCUACGAUUUCUAUAUUACGAAUCUAAAUGUUUACUAAUAUAUUACAUACUGUUUUUGGAAUUUUACGUUUCUAGUUUAUAAAAUAUAAAGGGAAAUAUAAAUUUUUCAAAGAUUUAACAAUAUUUUAGAAACUUAGAUCCAUUAAGCCGUUUAUUGGAUACGUAUUUUUUUAUUUUUGUCAUAGAAUCAUCUGUUCAAAGCUCAUUAAAGUGAUCGAGUAAGUUACCAUAGCUUCUCGUGCGAGCAUUGUGAAACACUUUCUUUGCGUUUGGAAUAGUCAGAAAAUCUGAACAUUAGCUAUUUACGCACAUAAACAAACAGGCAAUCGCUGCUUCACGAAACGAAUAUACAUCAUUCAAGCGUGAUAUGAAAAUCAGUGCUGUUUGUACAAGCUUCUUCUCUUGUCGCAAAUUUCGAGGAGCGCCACAGUACAAAACUCUUUCUUUGGGAAAAAUGUUGAAAAUAGUAUUUGCACCAAUAAUGAGAACAGACGUAAUUUUUUAUCAAUCUUGAUGAACAAGGUCUCAUUUUAAAAACGGAGAUUUAAUCUAGGAUCUUGCUUUCCCGAAUUCUUGAAAAAACUUGUUAUUUGUGCAUAAACUAUUCUUAAAAAAAUACCAUUUUUUAACAUGAUUUUUUUCAAAGAAAAUAGAUUUUUCAAAAAUUCGAAAAAGCGAGAGAAAUCCUAGAUUAAACCUUCGUUUUUAAAAUGAGAUUUUGCUCAUCAAAAUUGAUCAAGAAUUAGAUCUGUUUUCAUUGUUGGUGAAAAUCAUUAUAAAACCAGAGGUGAUGAACAGCUUUAAGUGCAAUUCUUGUACAAAUAUAGAACAUAAUAAAAAAUCUGUAUAAAUGUACAAAAAUGGAUAGAAUAUAUACAGGAAAUAUAAAUCA